rnacentral:rRNA from 1 species
GGGUCAGUAGGUUGGUCGUGCCACCGGUACGUACUGGUCUCACUGAUCCCUCCUUCCUGAAGAACCGUAAUGCCAUUAAUUUGGUGUUGCGGGGAAACAGGACUGUUACUUUGAGAAAAUUAGAGUGUUUAAAGCAAGCUAACGCUUGAAUACAUUAGCAUGGAAUAAUGAAAUAGGACGAUCGAUCCUAUUUUGUUGGUUUCUAGGAUUGACGUA